rnacentral:rRNA from 2 species
AGGCGGGUGCUAAUACAUGCAAGUCGAGCGAACUGAUUAGAAGCUUGCUUCUAUGACGUUAGCGGCGGACGGGUGAGUAACACGUGGGCAACCUGCCUGUAAGACUGGGAUAACUUCGGGAAACCGAAGCUAAUACCGGAUAGGAUCUUCUCCUUCAUGGGAGAUGAUUGAAAGAUGGUUUCGGCUAUCACUUACAGAUGGGCCCGCGGUGCAUUAGCUAGUUGGUGAGGUAACGGCUCACCAAGGCAACGAUGCAUAGCCGACCUGAGAGGGUGAUCGGCCACACUGGGACUGAGACACGGCCCAGACUCCUACGGGAGGCAGCAGUAGGGAAUCUUCCGCAAUGGACGAAAGUCUGACGGAGCAACGCCGCGUGAGUGAUGAAGGCUUUCGGGUCGUAAAACUCUGUUGUUAGGGAAGAACAAGUACGAGAGUAACUGCUCGUACCUUGACGGUACCUAACCAGAAAGCCACGGCUAACUACGUGCCAGCAGCCGCGGUAAUACGUAGGUGGCAAGCGUUAUCCGGAAUUAUUGGGCGUAAAGCGCGCGCAGGCGGUUUCUUAAGUCUGAUGUGAAAGCCCACGGCUCAACCGUGGAGGGUCAUUGGAAACUGGGGAACUUGAGUGCAGAAGAGAAAAGCGGAAUUCCACGUGUAGCGGUGAAAUGCGUAGAGAUGUGGAGGAACACCAGUGGCGAAGGCGGCUUUUUGGUCUGUAACUGACGCUGAGGCGCGAAAGCGUGGGGAGCAAACAGGAUUAGAUACCUGGGUAGUC